AUGUUCGCUUCGGCAGCACAUAUACUAAAAUUGGAGCGAUACAGAGAAGAUUAGCAUGGCCCUUGCUCAAGGAUGACAUGCAAAUUAGUGAAGCAUUCCAUAUUUUA
rnacentral:snRNA from 1 species